AUUGAACGCUGGCGGCAGGCCUAACACAUGCAAGUCGAGCGGAUGAAGGGAGCUUGCUCCUGGAUUCAGCGGCGGACGGGUGAGUAAUGCCUAGGAAUCUGCCUGGUAGUGGGGGAUAACGUCCGGAAACGGGCGCUAAUACCGCAUACGUCCUGAGGGAGAAAGUGGGGGAUCUUCGGACCUCACGCUAUCAGAUGAGCCUAGGUCGGAUUAGCUAGUUGGUGGGGUAAAGGCCUACCAGGGCGACGAUCCGUAACUGGUCUGAGAGGAUGAUCAGUCACACUGGAACUGAGACACGGUCCAGACUCCUACGGGAGGCAGCAGUGGGGAAUAUUGGACAAUGGGCGAAAGCCUGAUCCAGCCAUGCCGCGUGUGUGAAGAAGGUCUUCGGAUUGUAAAGCACUUUAAGUUGGGAGGAAGGGCAGUAAGUUAAUACCUUGCUGUUUUGACGUUACCAACAGAAUAAGCACCGGCUAACUUCGU
rnacentral:rRNA from 1 species